UGGGGAAUUUUGGACAAUGGGCGAAAGCCUGAUCCAGCAAUGCCGCGUGUGUGAAGAAGGCCUUCGGGUUGUAAAGCACUUUUGUCCGGAAAGAAAUCCUUGGCUCUAAUACAGUCGGGGGAUGACGGUACCGGAAGAAUAAGCACCGGCUAACUACGUGCCAGCAGCCGCGGUAAUACGUAGGGUGCAAGCGUUAAUCGGAAUUACUGGGCGUAAAGCGUGCGCAGGCGGUUUGCUAAGACCGAUGUGAAAUCCCCGGGCUCAACCUGGGAACUGCAUUGGUGACUGGCAGGCUAGAGUAUGGCAGAGGGGGGUAGAAUUCCACGUGUAGCAGUGAAAUGCGUAGAGAUGUGGAGGAAUACCGAUGGCGAAGGCAGCCCCCUGGGCCAAUACUGACGCUCAUGCACGAAAGCGUGGGGGAGCAAACAGGAUUAGAUACCCUGGUAGUCCCACGCCCUAAACGAUGUCAACUAGUUGUUGGGGGACUUCAUUUUCCUUAGUAACGUAGCUAACGCGUGAAGUUGACCGCCUGGGGAGUACGGUCGCAAGAUUAAAACUCAAAUGAAUUGACGGGGUCAUAGCUGUUUCCU
rnacentral:rRNA from 1 species